UGGUCCCACCUGACCCCAUGCCGAACUCAGAAGUGAAACGCCGUAGCGCCGAUGGUAGUGUGGGGCCUCCCCAUGCGAGAGUAGGGAACUGCCAGGC
rnacentral:rRNA from 1 species